rnacentral:rRNA from 1 species
GACGAACGCUGGCGGCGUGCUUAACACAUGCAAGUCGAGCGAGGCCCACUCUUCGGGGUGGUGCCCUAGCGGCGAACGGGUGAGUAACACGUGGGCAACCUGCCCUCAGCUCUGGGAUAAACUCCAAGAAAUUGGUGCUAAUACCGGAUGUGACCGCUGACCGCAUGGUCUGGUGGUGGAAAGAUUUAUCGGCUGAGGAUGGGCCCGCGGCCUAUCAGCUUGCUGGUGGGGUGAUGGCCUACCAAGGCGACGACGGGUAGCCGGCCUGAGAGGGUGACCGGGCCACACUGGGACUGAGACACGGCCCAGACUCCUACGGGAGGCAGCAGUGGGGAAUAUUGCGCAAUGGGCGGAAGCCUGACGCAGCGACGCCGCGUGAGGGAUGACGGCC